UUCUUAUCAAGAGAGACGGAGGGAUUUGGCCCUUUGAUGUCUCAGCAACCAGCCUGAAGAAGGCCACGGUGCUAAUUCCAAAAGGCUUCGGCCUUAAAGAUGAGAA
rfam:Planomicrobium sp. ES2 genome assembly, contig: CONTIG000001